rnacentral:rRNA from 1 species
GUGGGGAAUAUUGGACAAUGGGGGGAACCCUGAUCCAGCCAUGCCGCGUGUGUGAAGAAGGCCUUUUGGUUGUAAAGCACUUUAAGCGAGGAGGAGGCUACCGAGAUUAAUACUCUUGGAUAGUGGACGUUACUCGCAGAAUAAGCACCGGCUAACUCUGUGUCAGCAGCCGCGGUAAUACAGAGGGUGCAAGCGUUAAUCGGAUUUACUGGGCGUAAAGCGCGCGUAGGUGGCCAAUUAAGUCAAAUGUGAAAUCCCCGAGCUUAACUUGGGAAUUGCAUUCGAUACUGGUUGGCUAGAGUAUGGGAGAGGAUGGUAGAAUUCCAGGUGUAGCGGUGAAAUGCGUAGAGAUCUGGAGGAAUACCGAUGGCGAAGGCAGCCAUCUGGCCUAAUACUGACACUGAGGUGCGAAAGCAUGGGGAGCAAACAGGAUUAGAUACCCGGGUAGUCC